UAUAGCAACCAUCCCUGUAUCACAAUAGGACCAAUAGGCUUUGCCCCAUAUACUGUAACUAUUUGGGCCAUAGAAAGAUAACUUUAAAAGUCAUAUUUUCUUUACCGACUGCCCAAAAGUAAUAGAAAUCGUAUAUUUCCCUUGAUUUGUAUAGAAUAUAACCACGCAGUGGGCUCCAGAGAAGUGUGUGCAAGGCAUGUCAGCCUUAAGAACUUUUCUAUUGUAGGCUUCUGAGCUUUAGUUCAGGUUACAGGCAACUUGAAAUCUGUUUUACUCUCAGACAUCAUUCAAAAAAGCUGGCUAUUUUUAAUUUUAUUAACAGACAUUUAUUCCUGGGGAGGGUAAAUCCAUUUUUCACUUAUCGGCCAUAAUAGAGCCUUAGUUGAUCCCUCAAAUGGCAGUGAGACAGAACAAAUAAACCGUGAAAGCCUUUCAUUCUGAAACUUUUCAGUAAGAAUGUUAAAAGAAACUUAACAUUAGCUUAAGACGUUGACCUAUUUCUGUGUAAGUGAUUAGAAUUUCACAUCAACUUAGAAUAUAAUCUUCAUUCUAAAUUGUGUUUAUCUGCUGGUAAUUUUAAUUCUCAAUUAAAAUUUAGAGGUACAGCACCUGACACUUAAAUUAAUACUUCUUCUAAUAAAGUGUUUUGAAGUGGAAUACAGCUUUCCUUUAAAAAAACUUUAAAAUGGGUAAUAUUCUGAAAUUCUUAGUGACUGUCUGAAUGUUUUAUGGAGAUUAAACCAAAUGACUAUAUAGAAAUCAUUCUGUCAAGCUCUCUUUAUAUAAAGUUUUAAAUAAUUAAUGAAUCAAGAUAGGAAUCUUCUUUCUUCAAUAAACCAGUGCUUUAAUAUUUUUCUUUUAUCCUGUUUGAUUUUGGAUCUUGUUUAGUGUUUACUGCUUGUACCAUUUUUUGUUUGCAUCAUC
rnacentral:lncRNA from 1 species